GUCUGUGACCAUACCACCCUGAAAGCACCUUACCCCACCUGACCUCAGAACUAAGCAGGGUCAGGCAUGAUUAGUACUUGGAUGCGAGGGAGCAAACUUCUAGACAGUUG
rnacentral:rRNA from 1 species